rnacentral:rRNA from 1 species
UACGUAGGGGGCGAGCGUUGUCCGGAGUUACUGGGCGUAAAGCGCUUGUAGGCGGUCCACCAAGUUUGGGGUGACAGUUGCCGACUUAAUCGGCAAAGUGCCUCAAAGACUGGCGGACUUGAGGGCCACAGAGGGACAUGGAACUCCAGGUGUAGUGGUGAAAUGCGUAGAUAUGUGGAAGAACACCAGUGGCGAAGGCGGUUUCCUAGCUUAGACCUGACGCUAAAGCGCGAAAGCAAGGGGAGCAAACAGG